AUAAUUAUAGUUGUCUCAUCUCAAUAGUGUGGUAGGUAAUAUGUAUAGAUGGAGUAAUAAUUAUAGUUGUUCUUUCUAUGACCUUGAGACUCACAGUUUAUCAUUUAAAGUUUAUUUAAUAUAAUUUGUUUCAAAACCAUUAUGAUAUUGACGUGUACUUCAUAUGUAAGACUAGUACAUUUUUCUUUUUCAUUGAUAUCUCUUGUUUUCAUUUUCUUCUUUCUCUCACUCAUAAUUGCUUUUUUCUUUCAUUUUUUUCUCUAGACACCACACAACUCUUCGUACACUUAAAUACCACUUUUAAAGUCUACUUUUAAAUCAUGAUAAUCUUCAUGAUGAGAGCUUCUUAUUCCACCAUUUUUAGUCCAUAAUGAAAGCUUAAGUUUAGCGCAAGUAUUUAAUGACAAGAUGAAAUACACAUUGUUAUGUUUUUCUACUCAAAUCUUAUCAAAAGUUGACAUGUUGUGUAGAUCUAGCUUCAAAAAGAACUGAAAUAUAUUACAAAUGUUCAAAAUAAAUCUUAUCAAAAGUUGACAUGUUGUGUAGAUCUAGCUUCAAAAAGAACUGAAAUAUAUUACAAAUGUUCAAAAUAAAAGUUAUUGUAUUGAUUGAUUUUAGUUAAUUUUUUUAUUGUUUAUCAUUUCAUCUGUGAGUUCCUCUCUUUUGAUUGGAGUUUUUUGUUUUUGAUUUUGAUGUUUUUCACUUUGUCUGAGAGAAGUCACCGAAGAACCCAUCCGUUAAAUCCGCGAUCCGAAAGAACCGCGACCCGCUCAAACCGUUACGCAAAAUGGACGGCAGCGAGUUGAAAUAUUAAACCCAUCGAUUUUUACCGGUGGACAUUUUUUUGUCCGAAACCGUCCGCAGCCGACCGUUGUCCACCCCUAGUAAUAACAAGUAAAUAGAAACACAGUAAUAAGUCCAUAUCACUCACUAUAAUGGUAAAUAUGUGUCAUCACUUUUCACAUCUAAUAUAGUAGCUCUCUUGAAGUAGUCAUGACUCGGUGAGCCACCAAACAAGCUCUGGGGUUAGAAGCACCCUUAAACAUACAAGCAUUAUGCUCCCACAACAAAACUAAAUGAUAUUCAAAUAACAUGCUUCAGAUUUAUAGCCUUUGCAAUAUUACCAAACCUUUUAUUGUUGAUUGCUAACUAUUAGAAAAAUGAUUUAGCCUUUUGGGGUAGAGCCCCACAUUCGCUGCUCUGUAAAGCUUAAAAAAGGUAGUUCCAAAGGAAAGUAACAUGCCUUGCAUUGCAGAAACAAGUGGUCAUGUUUCAAUUAGGCACUGCCUUGGAAGAUAAGAUUUUGUUGGUUUGGGACAAACUUGGUGAUGGAAAAGGAAAUGGUUUAAGAUGGUUCACCUUGAAGAAAAAGAAUGUUGCUAAGGAAAUGGAUAGAACUGUUACAUAGAAUGAGAUUUGGGUUCUUUAGACUAAAGCAACCAUGUUGUUCUUAAUUUAAUUACUUCAAUCUAAUUAUCGGUAUUUA
rnacentral:lncRNA from 1 species